rnacentral:lncRNA from 1 species
GCAUCCGUAGAUACAAUCACGAAUUUAUUGACAUCGCCAAAAGCCGCCUUGCUGUUUGGUGCUGUACCGCAAGGAAGCCGUACACCCUGCUUUUGUCUAGCGAUACAGUGGAAUAUGAUGCAGAUGGAUCUGGCUACGGGGACUUCUCUGCUCUUCCCUCAUUUGGCGCGCUACCAGCCGCGACGACGAAGACGCGGCCGUCGCCGCCGAGGUCUUGCGCCUCUCGCAGGUAUACAAGUAGCAGCCACCGUCCCUACAGACGUGCACGCACAAAGCAAGGUCGUCGGUCACUAGAGAGAGGCCCCACGACGACGGAACAACGGCGACGCGGCGGGCGAGAGCAGGCACGCAUGGAACGCCGUUUUCCCGUGAGGAAGCCAUUUCACACCAUGCCUACCCGGUGCAGUGCGGAAGGAGCCACCGCGCUGACGCGGCGAAGGCAGCAACUGCACUGCAGCACGAGUUCCGGACGAGCGGCGUAGCGUCAUUCGUCGACGGACCCGAACAGCGCCUGCCCGAGGAACUGAACCGCACCAUUUCACUCGGAGUCGACGCAAGACAGGCGCCGAGCAAGGACCACUCUUUCACGCGAUCCCGAAUCCUCGACAAACGGAAGUGAAACUUCCGCCCGCGUGUGUGCUGUGGUGAGCUCACCGUGUGCUGCGGUGUUAUACGUGUGCCCUCUGCUUGCUGCCACUUGGGUGUUGACAGCAGAACCGUAAGCAACGUCACCGUCGGCUAGCAAACGCCAUCUGCUGUGGACCCAACAAGUGUACUCGGUCGUCCAGCAAUAACUCGACGGAGGAAGGCCGGGAGAAAGUCAUUUGCAAGCGUGCGUUCGUCAACCUCGACUCUCUCUGCACGAUUCGAGAAGUGAAGGCCUUCGUUGGCUUUGUCUGUGGCGAGAUCAAAGUCGGUGUGUUGCGAGUACUUUGAGCUAGCGUACACCUGUUUCCAACGCAGAACCGUGCGCGUGUGUGAGUGUGUGAGUGAUUUGGUGCCUUUCAGGUUGAAGACGAUUGCGCCCUGACAAACUGAACGUCUAGGCAUACAUUAGCACUGACAGAAAAAAGACCCUGCAAGGACGACAACGAAUCUCGACCGGCUGGGUGCUGCCGUACAUAGUCCUUUUAAUGCAGCCAUUUUGCGACUCGCUUUCUAGAUUCCGGUUGUCCUCGCCACCGCAGGUUCUUUCGUAACGAAUGCCAUCUUCCUGCGCGACUACGGCGUGAACUCCGAAAUACAGUAAGCUCUUGAGCAAACCCUGAUUUCGUUCCGCGGACCACCGAUCACGAGUACGGAUGAGCUGCAGCAUAUUUACGGGCUUUUAGCUCAACGGUCCGGUGCCGUCAACGACAGUGUUAAAGGUUCGGUUAUUGCAGUGUAGUCCCCUCACCACUGGCACC